AUCUGGCUGGUUCAGUCAGUAGAGUAUAUGACUCUUGAUCUUGGGGAUGUGAGUUUGAGUCCCACGCUGGGUG
rnacentral:tRNA from 1 species